rnacentral:rRNA from 1 species
CGGGUGAGUAAUACAUCGGAACGUGCUUAGUGGGGGGAGGUAACUGCCCGAAAGGGCGGCUAAUACCGCAUGAGACCUGAGGGUGAAAGCGGGGGAUCGCAAGACCUCGCGCUGGAAGAGCGGCCGAUGUCCGAUUAGCUAGUUGGUGAGGUAAAGGCUCACCAAGGCGACGAUCGGUAGCUGGUCUGAGAGGACGACCAGCCACACUGGGACUGAGACACGGCCCAG